rnacentral:rRNA from 1 species
AACGAACGCUGGCGGCAUGCCUAACACAUGCAAGUCGAACGGGAUCCUAGCUUGCUAGGUGAGAGUGGCGGACGGGUGAGUAACACGUGGGAAUCUGCCUUUUGGUUCGGGAUAACCGCGGGAAACUGCGGCUAAUACCGAAUGCCCUCGAGAGAGGGAAAGAUUUAUCGCCAGAAGAGGAGCCCGCGUCCGAUUAGGUAGUUGGUGGGGUAAAGCCUACCAAGCCGACGAUCGGUAGCUGGGUCUGAGAGGAUGAUCAGCCACACUGGGACUGAGAUACGGCCCAGACUCCUACGGGAGGCAGCAGUGGGGAAUAUUGGACAAUGGGGGCAACCCUGAUCCAGCAAUGCCGCGUGAGUGAUGAA